GAGUGGAUGAAGUCGGGAAUGGUCUGAAACAUUUCUUGUGGAGGGAAGCCUUUGGCAUGAAUGUGGUGACAGCCUAGGAGAUGAUGCCGUUGGCGGCGAGGGGGCAAGCAGGUGGUGCCCAAGCAGACUCCUAGCCUAGACACCCUCUCCCUCUGUGUCAACAGCUGGUCCAGUUGGGGGCCUCUACAAACCGGGAGAGCCCAGAGGACAGACCUGUGCUCAGUGAUGGGGUUGGGCUGGGUUGAGGGCCACCACAAUGAUGAGAGUAAUAGGAUCCUGAGUCCUCAGGAGACCAUGGGAGAUAGGUGGAGUUGUCACGUUUCCCGAUGAGAAAACAAGCUCAGGGAGGCCAGGCUGCAAGCUCAAGGUCACACAUGGAGUGAAUGUUGGAGUGAGAUUGUUCUGGAACCACUCACGGCCUGCUUCUGGAUAAUGAGGCCUCAGGAUCAGUAUGAGUUAGGUCAGAUGUCUAGGUUCUGAAGUCCAAGACGGUGGGGGCAAGUGGCCUGAGGGUAUUAUGGUCUCAAGGAACUUUUCCUUGGCCCUGCGGGAGCAGCCAGCCAAUAGAUUUGCCAACCUGGGGAUGGCCCUCCGGGGAGCCCAGAAGAGGGUGCAGAAGAAGGGUGUCGUGCCCUUCCUUGGCACUUUCCUCACCGAGCUGGUGAUGUUGGAUACCGCCAUGGAGGACUAUCUGGAGGGCUGUGAGAUCAACCACCAGAAAAAGAAUAAGGAAUACCAAGUCAUGACAGACAUCAUGCUGUUCCAGGUGGCUGCCGAGAAUUACACCCUAGAGCCCGAGGAUCCUUUUCGGGCCUGGAUCCAGGCUAUGGAGCCGCUCAGCGAGGCUGAGAGUAUCGAGAACUUGUAGAUUUCUACUUCAAACUCUGGAAUUGCAUCAGCACUAAGUGGGGAAAAACAUGUAAAGAGAUCAAAUCCUGCAUGUGGAAGGGACAAAGCCGGAGGAAGGGCUCUGACUCCACCAAGUAUAGAGAACUUCUGAGAACCCACAGGAAAUAUCAGGUUGAUGCUGUAUGACCCACACAACCUCAACUAGAGGAGGAGGAAACGGUGAGCCCCUCUAAUUUAUGUGUUUCUAUAUAU